rnacentral:misc_RNA from 1 species
GAUGAAGAACGUAGCGAAAUGCGAUAAGUAAUGUGAAUUGCAGAAUUCAGUGAAUCAUCGAAUCUUUGAACGCACAUUGCGCCCCUUGGUAUUCCGAGGGGCAUGCCUGUUCGAGCGUCAUUAUCACCCCUCAAGCUUUGCUUGGUGUUGGGGCCUGCUGUAAUAGGCAGCCCUUAAAAUCAGUGGCGGUGCUUCAAGGCUCUAAGCGUAGUAAUUCUCCUCGCUAUAGUGUCUAGUGGUUGCCAGCCAGAACCCCCCAAUUUUCAUGAUUGACCUCGGAUCAGGUAGGGAUACCCGCUGAACUUAAGCAUAUCAAUAAGCGGAGA